CUGGCUGGGCUGGAAGGUGAGCACACUCAGGAAGGAGGGGGUGGGGGCUACAUAAGAACACAGUAGGGGAGGGGGCUAGGAGGGUACAGGAGUGAAGGAGGCUACAUAAGGGCACAUGAGGGGGACUAAAGAGGAGGGGAGAAGGGCUACAAAAGGGGACAGGAGUAGAGAAGGGCUAAAGACUGCACAGAAGGGGAGGGAGGCGAAAGACUGCACAGGAGGGGAGGUGGCUAAAGAGGGUACAGAAGGAGAGGAGGUUAAAGAGGGCACAGGAGGUGGUUACAUAAGGGAGCAGGAGGGGGGCUAAAAAGGACACAGGAGGGGAGAAGGGCUACAAAAGGACAGGUGGGGAGAGGGGCUAAAGAGUGCACAGGAGGUGAGAAGGGCUACAAAAGGGGACAAGAGGGGAGAGGGGCUAAAGAGGGCACAGAGGGCAAAGGAGGGAAGGGGGCUACAUAAGGGUGCAGGAGGGGGGCUAAAGAGGGCACAGGAGGGGAGAAGGGCUACAAAAGGACAGGAGGGGAGAGGGGCUAAAG